rnacentral:tRNA from 1 species
GCCACCGUAGCUCAGAUGGUAGAGCAACUGAUUCGUAAUCAGUAGGUCAGCGGUUCGACUCCGCUUGGUGGCUCAA